rnacentral:lncRNA from 1 species
UGAUAUUUUAAAAACAGCUCCCAUGUAGACACCAUGGGAAAAAUCACAACUUUGUUGGACUUCCUUAGAAAGAUUUUGCAGCAUAGUAUGGUUUCUGUUUUAAAGUCUGUAUCUGAGGGAUGAGGGUAGGAAGGGGAGAGCUGCUGUAUAAGGCAGUGCCUUGUGACAUGGUGUCCCGAUGGAAGGCACCAUUUUAAAAGCGAUUGGAGACAGGUUAAACAACUUGCCCUCAAUCAACGGUUGGGAAGUGAAAGAACCAAGCUUCAAAUCCAGGUCUGUCUGGGUCUUGAGCCAAGCUCGAAGUCUGUGUCACAUUGCCCAGGACUCGGCUGCCAAUUCUCCCCACCUCCUCGUCCCUCACUGCUGCAUCAGCAAAUCCAGGGCUCAUGGCAGGAAGAGCAGAGAAGAGCAAAGAGGUGAAGCUUUCAUGGUGUGAAGGGAAGGACGGAACUGGUGAGGUCCUGGUGUUACUCAUUCUGAGCUCCAGGGGCUGCUUCAUAUCACAACUUGAUGAAAACUCCUCGAAGUCACAUCUAUCCAUCCUUGCCUGGCACAGAGGAGAUGCUUCAUUUGGAUGUGUUGCUGGAGGGGAGAGGUGCAAGCAGUAUGCCAUGGGCACUCAGAGGUCAAGCCUAUCCAGCAAGAAGCCAAGUGGAGAGUUGAGCAAUUAUCUGAAGUGGGCAGUGAGACGGCCAAAACCAGAUAAUACUUAACCAGAAAGUCAUCGUGGAGGGAAAAAGUGGACUGAAAAUAGAAGGGAUGGGGUAAAAUGUCAAACAAUUUGGUCAGUGUCCACAGUCCAAAUUCACUGGAUAACAGCCAAUUCCUUGCUUCAUGUAAUUAUUUAGAAUGAGUCUAAAAGACUGAGGUUUUAAAAAAAGAAGAUGAAUUUGUUACCAAGGUUGUUGCAUGUUUGUGCAAAACUUUUUCAUAUCCGUAGGACUAUCUGUGACAUGUCUAAUUCUGAAUAUUUCCAGGAUAUUUUAGAUUGGUGGGUCAAGGUUGUUGAGGAAGCCCAUAUUAUCUGUAGACUUACAUGGAGAAAAACUUUCUUUUAUGGAUUAUUUGAGUGUUAUAUUUAAUUCGCCUUUCUCCCCCCAUAGCAUAUUGCUUAGGAAUUUUCCAUUGAAAACUCCUGGUUCUCUGUUACUUUAUCAUUUCCUCAUGUGGCAAUUUCAGUAUCCCCUUGAUUUUAGUAGAACCUAUCAAUGAAGUAUAUAAGUCUACUAGAAUGGGAUUUGCAUUACUUUUGGUUAAAAAAAAACCCCACCAAAGUCUCAGAUCAAUGUGGUGUUUUUUUCCCUUCUAUUUGGUAUAAAAACCAUAAACUAAUUACUCUGAACAGAUGUUUCCUAGACCUAAAAUAUAGUUAUCAGCCCACUGGCCUCUAUAAAUCCGUCGCUGUAUACCUGGUAAUCCUGAAGACUCCUUAGUGCCAUGUUAAACCUUCCAUUUGUUGAUUUUUUAUUGAGAAAAAGUUCAUAAAUUAGGUUCACUGCUGCUUGGAAUUAAGAAGAAAACACAGCCAUGUUAGUAUUUCAGAUGGGAAAACCAAAGUUAAACAAGUAUUUUUUUUUCACUCUAUCAUGUCUUGAACAUUUGAAGCCAUUACAUAGCAUCUUAGAAACAAAAAAAAAUAACCCAGGGCUACUUUUUUCAGUAGCUUUGGCUGAUGUUUGAAAUCCACAGUGAAAAUUGCCCAUGGAAUAUUCUGGAAGGACUCCAAGGGAGUCUAUUGGAAUAUCUUACAAUAAAGUAAAAAUUCAAGAAGAAUUUUACAUGCAAGUAAGGAUUAAGAAAUUUGUUUUAUAAGUCACGGGAUAAAGGUAUGUAUUAAGUGACAUUGCUAAAUUCUUCCCUUGUGCUGUACAGUGACUGCUUUCCCCAUCAUAUGGUCAUGUCUGAAUCUCUGUGGGAAACCCAUCCCACACAGCCACAGCAGGUGUAACUCUUCUGCCGAAUACUUGAUUGGACAUACUGUGGGCCAGGACCUUUUGCUCUAAUGGUAAAAUUGACCUACAGAAAUGGAAGUCAUUCUAUGGACCUGAGUUGAUAGAAUGGAUGGUGCAUUCUGCAUAAAUGCUUGCUAAUGGUGUCAGUGGUAAAUGGUUUAUGCCCUACUUUGCUUUGUAAAAGACUAUGAUCAUGGAAUUUGAGCUGAAUAGACAAGCAAAAGAUUGAUUCUUCAGUGUCUACUGAUAAGUAAGCCUGUUUUAUCUUCAACCAUCUUGUUUCAUUUAAGUGAGGAAUCAAACCAGCUUUAAUUAAGGAAAUCUUUAGAAAUCACCCAUGCCAUCUUUUUACUCCCUGUUAAAAACAAAACAAAGAAGAAAACUAGAAAGACUUCAGCACAAAAACAUCUGCAUGUUGUCCAGGACCGUAGGACCGAAUCUUAGCACAACUCUUUUUGAGGAAGGAUACAGAUAUUAACCUGAAUUUUGAAUCACGGCUGAGGGAUGUGUGAACAAGUUAGUUUCCUCUUUUCUCCCUCCUGACUUCUUCCAUGAAUACGUAAGACCUAAUUUGGCCAUUCAGUUUGGAGAAUGAUUUUUUUCAUUUAAUUUCUUUGAUUAUCAAGCGUUGUAUUGCUAGGG